UACGUAGGGGGCAAGCGUUAUCCGGAUUUACCGGGUGUAAAGGGAGCGUAGACGGCAGUGCAAGUCUGGAGUGAAAGGCGGGGGCUCAACCCCCGGACUGCUCUGGAAACUGUACGGCUGGAGUGCAGGAGAGGUAAGUGGAAUUCCUAGUGCAGCGGUGAAAUGCGUAGAUAUUAGGAGGAACACCAGUGGCGAAGGCGGCUUACUGGACUGUAACUGACGUUGAGGCUCGAAAGCGUGGGGAGCAAACAGG
rnacentral:rRNA from 1 species